rnacentral:tRNA from 1 species
AAAAAGAUAAGCUAAGUUUAAGCUAACGGGCUCAUACCCCGUCUAUGAAGAUUACUUCUCUUUUUA